AUGUUUGUUGUUGUUGUUGUUGUUGUUGUUGUUGUUGUUGUUGUUGUGUAUGUGGGGGGGGGUUGCAUGGUUUUACAGUAAUUGAGGGGAGUAGCACUGUGAAAGCUGCAAAACAAUAUUAAUUCAGCAACAACAACAAAAAAAGACAUGUUCAGGUUUUAAAAAUAUUUUUAUUCAAUUAAAACACAAAAUAAAACACACAGACAUUUUAGAUAUAUAAAACUACCAUGACCACAAGGCUACACAACUACACACUACAACUAAACUGAAACUAAACUUUAUAAAAAUACACAAACUUCCUAUUAUCCAUCUAAUAGUUAUUAUCCCUUAUUAGUGUACUCCAUUUAAGCAAUAAUGUAAUCACACUUCUACUUAAAAUCAAUCUCUACUAAUUCCUGAAUAUCAAGUUUAUUAAUACAGUAGAGUCUCACUUAUCCAAGCUUUGCUUAUCCAAGCUUCUGGGUUAUCUAAGCCAUUUUUGUAGUCAAUGUUUUCAAUAUAUCAUGAUAUUGUGGUAGUAAAUUCGUAAAUACAGUAAUUACAACCUAACAUUACUGCAUAUUGAACUACUUUUUCUGUCAAAUUUGUUGUAUAACAUGAUGUUUUGGUGCUUAAUUUGUAAAAUCAUAACCUAAUUUGAUGUUUAAUAGGCUUUUCCUUAAUCCCUCCUUAUUAUCCAAGAUAUUCGCUUAUCCAAGCUUCUGCCGGCCUGUUUAGCUUAGAUAAGUGAGACUCUACUGUACCUCCAUUAUUGUUGUGAAAAGUGACAGACAGGUCUCAAUCUUUCAUAAAGUUAUUCAAAGAUUUCUCUUUAAUCGGGAUAGUCAAUGUGUACAUUUCUACAUUUUUACAUAUUUUCAUCAACUAUUAUUUGUGUGUUGGCAUAUCCAGUUCUUGCACUUCUGAGCAAUCCUUAGGCAUAAGUGUGAUCUAACACCUAUGCAUGUCACUAACAGGAUGCUUGCUUUCAUUUGUGUAAGAUCCCAGGUUCAGUCCAUGGCAGCUCCUGAGACUUUAUCACACUUACUGUUGGAUCCAGGGGGAUUCACUAGCUUCUGUGGUGAAUUCACAGGGCAGUGGGCAAUCCUAUUGUCUUGCGCCCCAUAUUGCCCACAGUGCAUCAUUGUGCGGCUCCCGCCCCAACGGUAGCCCCGUUCCUGUCUAUAGAACACAGGAAGCCUCCCAUGUUCUUGGCAGAGCAUUAUAGGAUGCUUGUGGCACAAUUCAUCUAUGGAACGACACUGGAAGUGAGUAUGUGUGAUGUGAUAGGUGGCGUGAGGUUCCGUAGAUGAAGUGUGCAGCUCGUAGGAUGUUUGUGAAGACCCAUGUGAUGAAGUCACUGACCAAGCCUAUAUUCUACAUAGCUUACUAACUUCUCUUCCCCCUCCAACUUUACCAGGCAGCAACCACACUGGGAGAUGUGGUUUGUUGAGUGGGUGAUCGAGGGACAGGAGGGUGACAUUUCCACCAGCUAAUGAGGCCAUAACAAUCAGAAGCAGGAUCCCAUCACAGUUCCUUAUUCCUACCUCUCUCUCUGGCCGGAGGGAUCUGGAAAUUUCUGAACAGACUUCCUAUACUCAUUUGGAGUAAAGUAAGUUUGGGAGGACAAUAUAAAUUUGGGCAAUAACAUCAUGAUCAUAGCUACAUAGUAAAUAUGGAGUAGUUAUUGCAAUAACUUCAAUACAGAAUGCCAGCCCUCAAUGGAAAUUCAGUAGGUCUUCUGUCAUAGAUGUCAUGAUGAAAUAUGAUUAGUUUUCUGGGUCUUGUAAAAAGAAGAUAUUUGAAUGUAACAGAUAAUUAUCCCUUUUAUAUUCAUACAGUUGGAUUCAAACUAAGUUAGUCAUCCUAGUGAUCCCAUUAAAAUAAUGACUAACCUGCCCAACUGAUUUUAGUGGUACUCAAGCAUAACUGAAUCCAAUCAACAGCACUGUUAUGAUCAUAAUUAUGCCAGCAAAUACUGUCAGUAGCUAUUCUCGUUGUGUGUUGUUUUCUUCCAUCCAUUGAGCUGGCAAACUGCAGGUGGGAAAGUGCCAGGAAGCAAUUAAAGAUUUGCUGUGAUUGUGAAGUACAGUGGUGUUGAGUGACUCCAACAGUUCAGCACCUUUACUGGACUGUUUAAAAAUGUGGUGAGUAGCUAGCGUGAAGGCCAGCAUUUCAGUUGUACAAAGUUGGGGAAAAAAGGAUGCAAAGGCCAUGAUGACUGCAGAGUUGUAGGAAUUGUGGUCCCCAAAAGUAUAUUUCCCAAUUUUUGGGUGAGUAGGAAAGCCUCCCCGCCCUCAAAGCAUAAGAUUUUGGUUGUUCAAUGUAGAUGGGACAUAAAUAAGCAAAAAGUGAUAGGGGAGCAGCAUUUUAGCUGUGGGUACAUCAGACUGAUUGAAAAUUCCAGGUUUUGUUUCAGUUCUUUAAACGUUUAUAAUGUGUUAAAAUAAAUUGAAUGGGGAGCUGGUAUAAAAGUCUGUAAUCAUACUGAAAGCUAAUGGAAAGUAUUCUGAGAUUUUUUUAAAAAAAAGCAUGGGUUUCCAAAGUAAAUUGGAAAGAACAGCAACAAAAUCAAGGACUUCUGAAUGUUUGUUAUUACUGUUCCCCUUAUUAAAUUCCAAACUAGGGAAAAGACAGGAAAUGAAUGAAUAGAUGAAUAAAGCUUGUUUAUGGUCUGUAGAAUGGUAUGAAGAACUGCAAUGGUACAAUCUUUUGAUUGAGGAGGAAUCCGAAAUGGCAAUGGAGGUGGUAACUCUGCUGGAUCCUUUGUAGUUUGUUUGAUUUUAUCUUCAAGUUUCCUGACUCCUCAGACAGAGAAAUGGCACCGUGAACAUCAGUAUUAAUUUCCCAGUUCAGAAAACUGUCAAUACUAAAGAUCAUAACAAGGGAGACAUCCUAAUGGAACUGGUGCUAUAGGAAGAGUGUACUCAUACAAAUGCCCCAGACUAUAUCUACAAUCAGGUGAAUAUUCCAAUAUAAAUUCCAGAGUUACCCACUCAACUUUGCCAUGGAUCAUAUCAAAAUCCAUAAUUUUGCCCUCAAAAUUAUGGACCCUGAUUUAUACAUGAGAGUGGUUUGUAUAUGAGUAUAUAUGGUACUACAAAACUUUUUCAAUGUCCAAAUUACCUGACAAACCUAACAAUUCCAAAUUGGAGAAAAGCUUUUUCAUUAGCAUAUUUUGAAUGUGCUAUUACCUGGUGUACUGGAGGGAAAAUAUAAGAGGAUCCCAUUUCAUAGGUUUAUUUGUCCCUGUGCAAAUAGGUCAUUAGAGAAAUUAUUAACCAUGUUAUUUUGUAUUGUAUUUUUUUUAUUAAAGCUUUUGCUUUAAUAAUACCUAUUCAACAGCAUAUUCCUAACCGGAUGGCAGACUUCCAUUUUUCCCUUCUGCUCACUGACCAGGAUGGUCAGAUUUAUGGAUAACGUUGCUAGAUUUUGUGAUACUGCCAUGGUGACUCAUAGAUAAAGGAUAAAUCAUCAGAAAGAGCAUAAAUCAAACAGGAUAAUGAUAGUAAAGUGCCAUUUUAAAAGUUGUUCAGGUAACCAUGAGAGACACAGGGGGCUGAGGAUAAUGUAUACAUCAUGAGCUUAGGUUAAGUGUUGUGCCUUCCUUUUUUUCACAAUGAUGAUGAUGAUAAUGAUGUAGAUUUUCUGUGUUGUUUAUAUUUUAUGCCACCUUAUGUCUUAUAUGUCUUACAUGAAAAAUCAUCUUUUAUCCUGGCUUAUGACUAUGGGCCCUUCCACGCAGCCAUAUAACCCACAAUAUCAAGGCAGUAUAACCCACAAUAUCUGCUUUGAACCGGGUUAUGAGUCCGCACUGCCAUAUAUCCCAGUUCAAAGCAGAUAAUGUGGGAUUUUAUUCUUUUGUGUGGAUGGGGCCUAUAAUAAAUUAUUGAUUGAUUGAAAAUGUUCAGAUUGAAAGUGUCUUGUCAUUGAAAUGCUGACCAAUCCAUAUCUGAGUUAAAGGUAAAGAAACAUAUAAGAAAGAGUAAAGAGAUGGUCAUCCCCCUUCCACACAUUUUCUACUUUGAACUGGAAUAUAUGGCAGUGUGGACUCAGAUAACCCAGUUCAAAGCAGAUACUGUGCUAUUUUUUGCCUUGAUAUUCUGGGUUAUAUGGCUGUGUAGAAGGGCCCAUAAACACCUGAGUCGAUAGGUAUCCAUACCCAGCCUUUAGCACCUGAACAAUAAGUACCCUUUAACACAACCCAGUUAUAGCACCAGGCAAGGAUUCUGGAAGAGAUAAUUAAGGAUGUUGUCUGCAAACACUUAGAAAUGAAUGCGGUCAUCGCUAAUAGUCAACACAGAUUUAUCAAAAAAGUCAUGCCAGAUUAAUCUCAUCUCUUUUUUCAAUAGAAUUAUAAGCUGGGUCGAUGCAGGGGACGCUGUGGAUGUAGUAUUUUUGGAUUUCAGUAAGGCCUCCAACAAGGUCCGCCAUGACCUGACAAACAAACUAGUCAAAUGUGGGCUAGGUAAAACUACAGUUAGGUGGAUCUGUAAUUGGUUAAGCGAAUGAACCCAAAGGGUGCUCACCAAUGCUUCCUCUUCAUCCUGGAAAGAAAUGACGAGUGGAGUGCCAUGAGCAGGGUUAUGUCCUGUGCCAGUUUCUGUUCAAUAUCUUUAUUAAUGGCUUAGAUGAAGGAUUAUAAGGCACGAUCAUCAAGUUUGCAGAUGACACCAAACUGGGAGGGAUAGUCAAUACUCCAGAAGAGAGAAGCAGAAUCCAAAAUGAUCUUAACAGAUUAAAGAGAUGGGCCGAAACCAAGAAAAUGAAGUUCAACAGGGACAAAUGCAAGAAAUUCUACUUAGGCAGAAAAAGUGAAAUGCAAAGAUACAUAAUGAUGGACGCCUGGCUCGACAGCAGUACGUGUGGAAACAAUCUUGAAGUCCUCAUGGACAACAAGGUAAACAUGAGCCAACAAUGUGAUGCAGUGGCUAAAAAGCCAAUGGGAUUUUGGCCUGCAUAAAUAGGAGUCUAAUGUCUAGAUCCAGGGAAAUCAUGCUAGCACUCUAUCCCGCCUUGGUCAGACCACACCUGGAAUACUAUGUCCAAUUCUGGGCACCACAAUUGAAGAGAGAUGUUGACAAGCUGGAAUGUGUCCAGAGGAGGGCAACUAAAAUGGUCAAGGGUCUGGAGAACAAAACCUAUGAAGAGCAGCUUAAAGAACUGGGCAUGUUUAGCCUACAGUAGAGAAGGCUGAGGGGCUGUAUAAAUAUGUGACGGAAAGUCAUAGGGAGGAGGGGGCAAGCUUGUUUUCUGAUGCCCUGGCGACUAGGACGUGGAACAAUGGCUUUAAACUACAGGAAAGGAGAUUCCACCUGAACAUUAGAAAGAACUUCCUUACUGUGAGAGCUGUUCAGCAGUGGAACUUUCUGCUCCGGCAUGUGCUGGAAGCUCCUUUGGAGGGUUUUAAGCAGAGGCUGCAUGGUCAUCUGUCGGGGGUGCUUUGAAUACGAUUUUCCUGCUUCUUGUUAGGGGGUUGGACUGGAUGGCCCAUGAGGUCUCUUCCAACUCUAUGAUUCUAUGAUUCUACCACAAUUCUAUUGUAACUGAUGUGGAAUCUUGGAUAUGUCAUUUAGGGGCCCUUCCACCCAACCAUAUAUCCCAGAAUAGCAAGAUAGAUAAUCCACAAUAUCUGCUUUGAACUGGAUUAUUGGAGUCUACACUGUCAUAUAAUCCAGCUCAAUGUGGAUUUUAUACAGCUGUGUGGAAGGGGCCGAGGAAAGAGUAUUCAGAUCUUUGAGCAAGAAAUCUCUUCUAGCACACCCCUUAACUACAAACCCCUGGAUUCUACAGAAUAUUGCCAUGACAGUCAAAGUGCAUUUAUACCUCUGUAAGUAUUUGGUAAGAAAGGGGCUCUAGUCACAAUGCUGCAUGUACGUCUAUGUUAUGGUAACUAUUUCUAUUUGUGCAUCCACACCUAUAAGUCAGCAUGUGUGAGUAUAUGCAGGUUUGUGCCCUCUUUUGACCUCUUUCAUGAUAAAAUUCCUCCUUUUGGUGGAAUACACUGGUCCUUUUGUCACAUGUGUGUUUAGCUUUCAAGCAAUAGCAAACAAAUAGACAGCAGCAACAGUGGCAAGAAACAUUUAGAGAAGCCCAUAGGGAAAGAAUCACAUUCAAACACUUCACCAUGCACACUCCUGUCCAGAAAUAGAAAACCAGAAACAGAACCAGCUUUGAAGGUCUCCAUGGGGCUAGUGAGAUGGAAUAUAACUCACUUGUGCUUUCUCUUUGUUUUGUUGUCCAUAUCCAAAGAUGCAGAACGUCCCUUUCCAUUUGAAAAUGAGCAGGUAACCCAGAAUAAUCUUUUUUUUAUCUAGCUUUUUAUUUAUAUUUAUAUUUAUAUUUAUUUUAUUUAUAUCUAAAAGCAGGAGAGGUAACGGCGUACAAGGUACCAGACAAACGUGGCACAAAGACUGACACUAAACAAGCAUUUGUUCUCCCUUUUGUGUUCCUUUAUGAGGUUGUUAAAUGGCUAUAUUCUUAGUUCUGGUGGUCACUGGUUUUGUAGUCUAUUUCCAUUCUCAUGGGAGCACUUAAUACAAGGCAACCAAUGAAGGCAAAGGGAAAUGUAAUGAUAAAAUAUACAGCUCUGUUUUUUCUUUAAAUGCCUUCAGAAGCAUUGAGAUAAUAACUUGGGCUUGCAGGGAAAGUAGAAUUUAAGCUUGUCAAAUAUUUUGAAAUCCAGUUGGGGUUUAUCCACGAGGACAAAGCAGUUUAGAAUGUGCUUUAUUCUAUUAUGUUAAUGAAAUGGUUAAUUCUAUUGCCAUAGCAACAAAGAACAGCCAUGAUAAAAAGCUAAAGGUCUCCACAUAAUGCCUGAGACAAGGCCGCUGUGGCACCAAUGGACCCAGGAGAACCUUGUCAUCACCCUCUUCAUGCCCCCAUGGCACCAAUGGACCCAGGAGGGCCUCAUCAUCACCCUCCUCAGGCCACCACGGCACCAAUAGACACAAAAGGUACUCGUCAUUGCCCUCCCCAGGCUGCCAUGGCACCAAUGGACCCAGGAGGGCCUCGUCAUCACCCUUCUCAGGCCACUGCGGCACUAAUGGACCUAGAAGGGUCUUGUUAUUACCCUCCUCAGUCCACCACGGCACCAAUGGACACAAGAGGGACUUGUCAUUGCCCUCCCCAGGCCGCUAUGGCACCAACUCAGAACAGCCUCAUCAUUGUCCUCCCCAGGCUAGCCGUGGCACCAAUGGACCCAGGAUGGUCUCGUCAUCGCCCUUUUCAAACCACCACAGCACCAGUUGAUUUGUUGUUGUUGUUAGUUCAUUUUGGCAAUGAAUGUUUCCCACUUUGUUACUUUUGUCUGUAAACUGCCCUGAGUCCAUUCGGGGAGGUAAUAAAAAUUAUUAUUAUUAUUA